rnacentral:rRNA from 1 species
GAUGAACGCUGGCGGCGUGCCUAAUACAUGCAAGUCGAGCGAACAGACGAGGAGCUUGCUCCUCUGACGUUAGCGGCGGACGGGUGAGUAACACGUGGAUAACCUACCUAUAAGACUGGGAUAACUUCGGGAAAACGGAGCUAAUACCGGAUAAUAUAUUGAACCGCAUGGUUCAAUAGUGAAAGACGGUUUUGCUGUCACUUAUAGAUGGAUCCGCGCCGCAUUAGCUAGUUGGUAAGGUAACGGCUUACCAAGGCAACGAUGCGUAGCCGACCUGAGAGGGUGAUCGGCCACACUGGAACUGAGACACGGUCCAGACUCCUACGGGAGGCAGCAGUAGGGAAUCUUCCGCAAUGGGCGAAAGCCUGACGGAGCAACGCCGCGUGAGUGAUGAAGGUCUUCGGAUCGUAAAACUCUGUUAUUAGGGUAGAACAAAUGUGUAAUUAACUAUGCACGUCUUGACGGUACCUAAUCAGAAAGCCACGGCUAACUACGUG